rnacentral:rRNA from 1 species
CUAACGGCUGAACCAGCAACUUGGAGGAAUGUAUAGCAAUAGCUGAUUGCACCAACAAAUACUUGAUGCAAUAUUGACUCUGUCAAAUAAAAUUCUAGGUAGAAUUAUGAUAAUGACAUUGUCUGCCUAUAUGUCUUGACCAAAUUACGUGCCAGCAGUCGCGGUAAUACGUAGAAGACUAGUGUUAUUCAUCUUUAAUAGGUUUAAAGGGUACCUAGGCGGUAAAUCAAGCCUUCACAGGGACUAAUUUACUAGAGUUACUUACGAGGGGGUAUUAAAGUACUGCAGGUGUAGAGAUGAAAUUCUGUCAUACCUCUUUUCAAAAGAAAAAUCAUGGCACAGGUAUAGGUGAAAGCAUCCCCUUAUGUGAUAACUGACGUUGAAGGACGAAGGCUUUGUGUCGCGAACAGGAUUAGAUACCCCAGUAGUCAAAGCAGAAAAUGAUGAAUGUCAUAGAUUAGAUAAAUAGUUUAUUCUAUAAAUGAAAAUGUAAGCAUUCCACCUCAAGAGUAAUUUGGCAACAUUGGAACUGAAAUCAUUAGACCGUUUCUGAAACCAGUAGUGAAGUAUGUUGUUUAAUUUGAUGAUCCGCAAAAAACCUUACCACAAUUUGAAUAUUUAUAUCUAUCUUUUUUUUCGUAAAGAAAUAAAAAGGUAAUAUGUUUACAAGCGUUGCACGGCUGUCUUCAGUUAAUGUCGCGAGACUUUGGUUAGUUCCAUUAAAUUAACGUAAACCCUUACUUUAUUUUUAUAUGAAGUAGUUCCCCGCUAUAUUGGAUAUGAUAACAGGGACUAAGACAAGUCAUCAUGGCCUAAAUAUUGU